CCUACGGGGGGCAGCAGUGAGGAAUAUUGGUCAAUGGACGAGAGUCUGAACCAGCCAAGUAGCGUAAAGGAUGACUGCCCUAUGGGUUGUAAACUUCUUUUAUAUGGGAAUAAAAUGUUCCACGUGUGGGAUUUUGUAUGUACCAUAUGAAUAAGGAUCGGCUAACUCCGUGCCAGCAGCCGCGGUAAUACGGAGGAUCCGAGCGUUAUCCGGAUUUAUUGGGUUUAAAGGGAGCGUAGGUGGAUUGUUAAGUCAGUUGUGAAAGUUUGCGGCUCAACCGUAAAAUUGCAGUUGAAACUGGCAGUCUUGAGUACAGUAGAGGUGGGCGGAAUUCGUGGUGUAGCGGUGAAAUGCUUAGAUAUCACGAAGAACUCCGAUUGCGAAGGCAGUUCACUGGACUGCAACUGACACUGAGGCUCGAAAGUGUGGGUAUCAAACAGGAUUAGAUACCCUUGUAGUC
rnacentral:rRNA from 1 species